rnacentral:rRNA from 1 species
AGGAAUAUUGGUCAAUGGCCUAACGGCUGAACUGGCAACUUGGAGAAGUGGCAAGUCUUCCAGUAUGGGGAGCAAAACAGCUAUGGGUCAAGUCCGAUAUCUUUAGGAGAAGUCUUAUUGUGAGGGCGAGUUAUAUAACACCAUAGGACUGGCCGUCCCAUAUGAAAAGAUUAUAUUAGAAUUGAAUGAAGCUUUGUUUAUAUAUUGAUAAUGACAGUAUAUAUAUCGUGUCUUGACUAAUUGCGUGCCAGCAGUCGCGGUAAUACGUAAGAGACUAGUGUUAUUCAUCUUAAUUAGGUUUAAAGGGUACCCAGACGGUCAAUAUAGCUUAUAAAAUGUUAGUACUUGACUAGAGUUUUAUGUAAGAGGGCAGUACUUGAGGAGGAGAGAUGAAAUUUCGUGAUACCAAAGGGACUCUGUAAAGGCGAAGGCAGCCCUCUAUGUAAAAACUGACGUUGAAGGACGAAGGCACAGAGAACAAACAGGAUUAGAUACCCAAGUAGUCUUUGCAGUAAAUGAUGAAUGCCAUAGGUUAGAUUGAUCAAUUAUAGUCUAGGGUUAGUCUAGCAAACUAAUGCCCUAUGAUAUAAUUCAAAAUAUCUGGUCUAUAAAUGAAAGUGUAAGCAUUUCACCUCAAGAGUAAUGUGGCAACGCAGGAACUGAAAUCACUAGACCGUUUCUGACACCAGUAGUGAAGUAUGUUAUUUAAUUCGAUGAUCCGCA